UACGUAGGGCGCGAGCGUUGUCCGGAAUUAUUGGGCGUAAAGAGCUCGUAGGCGGCCUGUCGCGUCGGUUGUGAAAGCCCGGGGCUCAACCCCGGGUCUGCAGUCGAUACGGGCAGGCUAGAGUUCGGUAGGGGAGAUCGGAAUUCCUGGUGUAGCGGUGAAAUGCGCAGAUAUCUGGAGGAACACCGGUGGCGAAGGCGGCAUCCUGGACCGGCAUUGACGCUGAGGCGCGAAAGCCAGGGGAGCAAACGGG
rnacentral:rRNA from 1 species